CUCCAAAGUAGCUCACAAAAAGGAUGAGGGCCAGGUUGCCGAUCUCAAAGCUGCUGGCAAUGACACCCACGUCUGCACUCUGGAGGUUGAAUCGCCGCUCCAAGGUGGUUAAAACACUCACCAGGUAGGCUCCCACGGUGCCCUGGGCCAGCAUCAGCGCGCACUCGGACACCAGGAAGAGCUGGAUGCUGGAGAAGCAGGACACCUUCCUCCGCCGCCUCCGCUGUCGCGCCGCGCCGGCCCCCGGCAGCUCUCCGCCGCCCGCCGAGCCCCGCUUCCCCGGCAUCCUCCUCCGGGCACCGCCGCGGGAUGGCGGCCCCGCGGCUGCUCCGCGCCUUCCUCCUCCUCCUGCUCCGGGUGCCGCUCACAGCGGCAGCCCGCGGCUGCUGCCUCUCCGCCCGCGGGCUGCUGCCAUGGCCAGCUCGCCACCUCCUCCUCCUCCUCCCGCCGUCUCUCCUCCCC
rnacentral:lncRNA from 1 species